CGGAGGGUCAUUAUAGAGUUUUCUAAACUCCCAACCCAUGUGAACUUACCUUUUGUUGCCUCGGCAGAAGUUAUAGGUCUUCUUAUAGCUGCUGCCGGUGGACCAUUAAACUCUUGUUAUUUUAUGUAAUCUGAGCGUCUUAUUUUAAUAAGUCAAAACUUUCAACAACGGAUCUCUUGGUUCUGGCAUCGAUGAAGAACGCAGCGAAAUGCGAUAAGUAAUGUGAAUUGCAGAAUUCAGUGAAUCAUCGAAUCUUUGAACGCACAUUGCGCCCAUUAGUAUUCUAGUGGGCAUGCCUGUUCGAGCGUCAUUUCAACCCUUAAGCCUAGCUUAGUGUUGGGAAUCUACUUCUCUUAGGAGUUGUAGUUCCUGAAAUACAACGGCGGAUUUGUAGUAUCCUCUGAGCGUAGUAAUUUUUUUCUCGCUUUUGUUAGGUGCUAUAACUCCCAGCCGCUAAACCCCCAAUUUUUUGUGGUUGACCUCGGAUCAGGUAGGAAUACCCGCUGAACUUAAGCAUAUCAAUAAGCGGAGGAAAAGAAACCAACAGGGAUUGCCUUAGUAACGGCGAGUGAAGCGGCAACAGCUCAAAUUUGAAAUCUGGCCCUUGGGUCCGAAUUGUAAUUUGUAGAGGAUGAUUUUGGUGCGGUAUCUUCCGAGUUCCUUGGAACAGGACGCCUUAGAGGGUGAGAGCCCCGUACGGUUGAAUGCCUAGCCUCUGUAAAUCUCCUUCGACGAGUCGAGUAGUUUGGGAAUGCUGCUCUAAAUGGGAGGUAAAUUUCUUCUAAAGCUAAAUAUUGGCCAGAGACCGAUAGCGCACAAGUAGAGUGAUCGAAAGAUGAAAAGCACUUUGAAAAGAGGGUUAAAUAGCACGUGAAAUUGUUGAAAGGGAAGGAUUUGUGACCAGACUUUUUCUGGGCGGAUCAUCCGGGGUUCUCUCCGGUGCACUUCGCCCAGUAAAGGCCAGCAUCGGUUUUCGGCGUGGGAUAAAAGCAGUAGGAAUGUGGCUCUCUACGGGGAGUGUUAUAGCCUAUUGUAUAAUACCGCGCUGGGGACCGAGGUUCGCGCAU
rnacentral:rRNA from 1 species